rnacentral:rRNA from 1 species
CAGCAGCAGCCACGGUAAAACAGAGGGUGCAAGCGUUAAUCGGAAUUACUGGGCGUAAAGCGCGCGUAGGUGGUUUGUUAAGUUGGAUGUGAAAGCCCCGGGCUCAACCUGGGAACUGCAUCCAAAACUGGCAAGCUAGAGUACGGUAGAGGGUGGUGGAAUUUCCUGUGUAGCGGUGAAAUGCGUAGAUAUAGGAAGGAACACCAGUGGCGAAGGCGACCACCUGGACUGAUACUGACACUGAGGUGCGAAAGCGUGGGGAGCAAACAGGAUUAGAUACCCCGGUAGUCCCUGUCUCUUAUAC